CACGUGGUAUCCUGUCUGAAUAUGGGGGGACCAUCCUCCAAGGCUAAAUACUCCUGACUGACCGAUAGUGAACCAGUACCGUGAGGGAAAGGCGAAAAGAACCCCGGCGAGGGGAGUGAAAAAGAACCUGAAACCGUGUACGUACAAGCAGUGGGAGCACAGGUUUACCUGUGUGACUGCGUACCUUUUGUAUAAUGGGUCAGCGACUUAUAUUCUGUAGCAAGGUUAACCGAAUAGGGGAGCCGGAGGGAAACCGAGUCUUAAUUGGGCGUUAAGUUGCAGGGUAUAGACCCGAAACCCGGUGAUCUAGCCAUGGGCAGGUUGAAGGUUGGGUAACACUAACUGGAGGACCGAACCGACUAAUGUUGAAAAAUUAGCGGAUGACCUGUGGCUGGGGGUGAAAGGCCAAUCAAACCGGGAGAUAGCUGGUUCUCCCCGAAAGCUAUUUAGGUAGCGCCUCGUGAAUUCAUCUCCGGGGGUAGAGCACUGUUUCGGCUAGGGGGCCAUCCCGGCUUACCAACCCGAUGCAAACUGCGAAUACCGGAGAAUGUUAUCACGGGAGACACACGGCGGGUGCUAACGUCCGUCGUGAAGAGGGAAACAACCCAGACCGCCAGCUAAGGUCCCAAAGUCAUGGUUAAGUGGGAAACGAUGUGGGAAGGCCCAGACAGCCAGGAUGUUGGCUUAGAAGCAGCCAUCAUUUAAAGAAAGCGUAAUAGCUCACUGGUCGAGUCGGCCUGCGCGGAAGAUGUAACGGGGCUAAACCAUGCACCGAAGCUGCGGCAGCGAACGUAUCACUUAAAGCGAUUCAGCGGGUUACGAUUGACGGAGCGAAGCGACGUCAAAGCGUAUACAAAGUCGAGUCGGUUUAAGGAUACGUUCGUUGGGUAGGGGAGCGUUCUGUAAGCCUGUGAAGGUGGCCUGUGAGGGUUGCUGGAGGUAUCAGAAGUGCGAAUGCUGACAUAAGUAACGAUAAAGCGGGUGAAAAGCCCGCUCGCCGGAAGACCAAGGGUUCCUGUCCAACGUUAAUCGGGGCAGGGUGAGUCGACCCCUAAGGCGAGGCCGAAAGGCGUAGUCGAUGGGAAACGGGUUAAUAUUCCCGUACUUGGUGUUACUGCGAAGGGGGGACGGAGAAGGCUAUGUUGGCCGGGCGACGGUUGUCCCGGUUUAAGCGUGUAGGUGUGUGUUCCAGGUAAAUCCGGUUCACUUUAAC
rnacentral:rRNA from 1 species